GAAGUUACAGUCGCAAUAUUAAGAUGACAAGAAGUUCAAGACAAGAUAAAGGACCUUGGUGUGAUUGGACACUGAGAGUUCCUUAUUCUGCAAACCUCUAAGUACCUUAAGCUACUUCAGUUGGGCAAAAAAAGAUAACCAAGGAGGGAAAGUCUACUGUGUCAUGAAUGGCUUCAGGAAGGUGAAGAUGGAAGAAUCAUUCAGAGAACAAGAACUACGGGGCAAACGGUGAAAGGACCAGAAGGUGAUGGCAAGCGAGGCUGUUUUUCCAGCAUGAGUACAACUGAGUAAUAAAGCCGAAGGGUGAAGAACAGUCGCCAAGGCAAAGAACAAUCAUCAAGGCAGCUAUUGCAGUCCUCUGUGAACACAGGAGAGUCACAAGGCUUUGGUGGCUGGUAUUCCAUUAGCCAUUUCUCCAGCAGAGCUUGUAAUGGACAGAAUUUGUUGUUUGCAGCUAUCUACCGUAUUUAAAACUUGAAAGAAAAUGAUCUCUAUUUUUUUUCUGUUACCACUCCAGCAGUAAAUAACAACCACGUAAGUCGCAUUCUUGUAAUAUCUUUACUCAUGCAAAUUGCUUGACUUUCAUGCUUAGUCUAAUUGAUUUUAAUGGGGUUAAUUAUGUCAAGGAGGUGUUCUCACUUGUGGAAUGUUUGCAGAAUUAGAUUUUUGAGUAGCAUCAAGGAGCAAUACCCCAUUUUGGACAUUUACCUGAGGCAGGACUGAGGAUCGUAAUUAACGGUGUAACUCCUGUUAACAGGCUAACGCAAAAAAAGCAUUAUUUCUUGCUUAGGUGUAUGACAAAAUUCUACUGUGUAUAAGUUUUAAAACUGGAUCAGCACCUGUCCUUUGCUGACUAGACUCAGACAGACUUGCCCUUUUGAACUCAGAAGAAGUGGUGGUAGGUUCUGUUUAAGGAACCUGUGAUUUCAGUCUAUCAGAGAUUUCCAGGUAUUUCUAUCCCUCUAAUAAUCACAGGGAACAACGAAAAGGCGUUUUCACUGUAGACUAACUAUCCUGGAAGGACACCAUUUGGUGAAAAUAUUGGGCCUUUCGUAAAAAAAGUAAUCAGAAUAUAAGUCAGAGCUAAAGGCUCUUUCUGUUUGUGAUUUUCUGUGAGCUGAACUGUGUUUUUCCAGUUUUUCUUUGAAAAAACAUACAACUUUCUUGCAUAGAAAGGAAGAAUCUUUACACUAUUCUGCAGAAAGAGGCGCAGAUGGUGGGGAGAGGUGCCAGCUAAGGCGACACUCCAGCUCACACGACCUGGUCAUGGCCACACAGCUGUGCAGAACUCUCCAUCCAGAAGGCGUCAAGAUCUGGGCCUGAGAAAGGCUAAGCAGGGUAUUAGUACUUUUUCAUACUAAGAAGGAAAAAGACUGACAAUGAAUCACAAGCGUCUUUUCACACUGCUUUUAAAGUAUAAAAUUACAAAAUUCACAGUUAGUGCUCAGAGGUUCAGAGUACCUGUAGAUGCUUCUGUCUUCAUCCGGAGUCGUGGGUGCUCUCCACUGUGGCGAAUGAGACCAUUUGGAGCUUAGUGUUUAUGGUGCAUUCAAAUA